rnacentral:lncRNA from 1 species
GGGGGAGCUGCCUUUGGGCAGCUCGCAGAGAUACACGAGAGGGAGUCAGAGGGAGUGAGACGGGACAGAGGUCAGCACGAAGGGAGGUCAGCACGAAGGUGAGCUGCCUUUGGGCAGCGUGUCAGACAGAGACAUCAGGUCAGAGAAGAAGAGCGCAGAAAACGUAAGGGCUGUCUUGGAGCUGACUUGCGGGAAGAAGUAGCUUAUAGCUGCCUAGACGGGACAGCCAAGAAAAACCGAGAGGACUGCGCAGAGCACAGAGGCAGAGGGCUUCAUUCCAUUCUUAUUGGUGUUAUCUUCUCAAACUCAUGUUUUACGUUUCGGUUUAAUUUUUCCAAACUUCUAUUUUAUUUCUGUUUCAAUAAUGUGUAAUUAAACUUAUUUUGACUAGAGGUUAAUUCAAAGCCAUGAAUAUAUUUGUAAUAUGAAUUGAUUACCUUCGGUUGUGAUUUCAUAAGUUGUGAUUUCAAUUUACUUAUCCGUUCGUAUAAAAACUGAUUUGUGUAUGUUGGUUGAGAGUGCACGCUUAAUUUACAUGCAUGAAUUUGAUGCUAGAAUAUAAGUGAAUUUCACCUAAUCGUUAUGAAUUUAUUUUCACAAGUAGUAAAGGUUGCUAGUCACAAUCACGUUAAGUAAAUUCUUGGCAAGAGUAUCAUGCUUUUCAUAGUUACGAAUGCCUCGUCAAUGCUUAUAGUUUUCACAAAGUUUAAUGAUCUUUGAUUGUAUCGCUAUUGUGCUUUUCACGUAGGGGACUUUUGAAGAAUGUUUUGAAUUGUUGUAUGCGUUUUUCCGUCCAAUUCAAUAACUUAAGGAAAACUUGAAGAUUAAAAAAAGUGCUGUUCACGGUUAAUCUGGAGUAUUGAGAUUCACAAUUUAUUGAAAGAACAACUGAAAAUCAAUUUAGGUUGCAUAUGUGUCAUGUGUGGAGAAGAACCCUCUAGCUAGUCCGUCAUUUAUCAUUUUACCUUAAUUUUAUGUUUUUUAUCAAUUCUGUAAUUUUAAUUAAGUUUAAUUUACUUUUUCAUCAAAACCAAACACCCAUCCAUUAUUAAAUUAUAUUAUUUAGUUAGUUUUCUUUAUUGUUAGUCUUUUAAUUUAAUUUCCAUCCAUUUCAGUUCCUAGUGUUUAAUUUAAUUGUUUCCAUUAUUUUGAGUCAUUUUAAGUGUGUUUCGAGUUAUUAGAGUUUUUAGCCUAAUUUUGUGUCCUUGAGUCUUAUUUAAUAUUUUUAAAUUAAUUUAGAAUAGAUUAGCAAUCCCUCCUAAUCCCCGGCCUAGAACGAUACCCUACUUACAUCUAUACUACAAUUGUCAAAAAGAGGGUUUAAUUUGUGUGCUUAUAUAUUUCGCAUCAAAUUUUGGCGCCGUUGCCGGGGAUUAGCAACUUUGCUAAUCCCUUGGUUCUUUUCUUUUUGUUUAGUUUGUUUUUGUUUUAGUUUCUGACUUAGUUUUGUGUUACUUUUGAUAUUUGAUUUAUUUUUCUUUCUUUGAUUUUAGGUACAAAUGGAGCGAGACAUGGCACUUGCGACCAUUCAAGCUCAAUUGGCACAGCUCACUGCUCAAUUGACUCAUAAUGCCGAACGGACCACAAUGCCAAGUGUCCCUACAUUUGAUGUGCCCUAUGGGCAAGGUUAUCAAAGUCCUCAAUUUUAUGCAAAUGAAGAUGUUUGGGGACAUCAAGGCCAUAACCAAUCAAGGGGCAACAUAUUUUCCAACGCUUACAAUUCAGAUUGGAGAGGUAAUUCAGAUUAUAUGUGGGAUGAACCUCAACAAUUUCAACAAUGUGGAUAUUGGCAGCAAGACGAGUUCUAUUCAAGACCUAUGCAACCACCACAGCAUCCCCCACAACAAUUCCAAUCAAAUCAAAGUAUGCCCAUGAAUUAUAAUGAAAUUCUUGAAGGACUAAUUUCUGUGGCGCAGGGUUUAUGAAAAGAAGAACAAUUGCCGCCAUCGGAAGAGUUCUAUCAGUGGCCAUAUGAACCGUCACAGCCACCACAACAAUCAACCCAAUUCAAUUCAGGUACAUCCUUGGAUAAUGAUACACUUAAUAAGUUACUCACCUCUUUGAAUCAGGGAGUAGAAAAUCAAAACCAGGAGAUGCAAGACCGAGUCAAAAGAUUGGACGAAUUGGAUAUGCAAGUUGGGCAGAUUGUGGAAUUCAUGGCACAGAUUCAAGAUCAAAGUGAACUUUCCAACUCAAACAUUGCAAAUUCAAAGGCAGAAAGAGAAAUCGAUGAAGCCAUCACUUUGGAAGGUGACAUGAAGGAUGAAGCUGUCCCAGAACCAUCCAAACACAGCCCGAACAUGGAUGAAUUGCUGCUGCAAGCUCCUCAAAUCCCUAUGUCAUCCAGCUUAGGUGAGGAAGUUCUAAAUUCACUUCAUUCUAACAUUAUUCCACCGAAUGUCCUUUGUCCUUGCAGGUUUUUUAUUCUAAUUAUCAAAGAGAGUGAAAAAGACAUUGUGGAAGCUCUUCCAAAGGUGCAAAGUGAUAUCCCAAUUCUUGGUGCACCAAAACAAGUUCCCGAUGGUAUUGAAACGUUCAAAGAACCUUGCACACCAAGAAAAGGGAUUCAAGAAAAUGAAGUGGUUGAAGCAUAUCAAGAAUACAUCCAAGAGGCUGUGUAUGAGACAAUCAAGCCCAAAGCAGUUGAGUUUGAUGACACGGGACAAGCCACAACCAUCAUAGUAAACCUGGCCAAUUUCAAAGUCCCGGAAAUGUUCAACAAUGUGGUGUUUGUCAUUGAGUUUGUGUCGGAAAAAGAAAAUAAGCCAUCUUCUCCAAUUUUAAUUUUAAUUUAUACUAACAUGUUUCUUAUUUUGAUGAUUCAGGCACCCACUCUUGAAUUUAAACCAUUGCCGAAUCAUUUCAAGUAUCACCUCCCAUUAAAAGAUAAAUUCCAUGCUUUGGAGCCGAGGGGAGGUUAAAGGAAAGAUUCGUCCGGCUAAAGACGUUAAAUCAAGCGCUUCUUGGGAGGCAACCCAAGCAUUCAACGAAGGGAGACUUUGGAAUCGCUAACCAAAUCAGAUUUGAAUUCUUACACCCUUAUCUUUACUGCUUUCAUUUUGUUUUGUUUAGUUAGUUGUGUUAUUUGGUUGAUUUCUGUGAGUUUGUGUUAUUUAGUUUAAGUGUUGGGGAAGGUUAACCAAAGUCUUUUUGACAUUGAUUUACAUAUUUUACAUUGAUUUUAAAAAAAACAAAAAAAAACAAAAAAAAAAAAAAAAAAAAAAAAAAAAUAGAAAUAAACAUUUUUUUACAAUGAUGUGUAAACUAUGUAAACUAAUAGUAUUCAUUGGUCGGGUGGUGCUUCAGUAGUAGGCGGGGCUUCAGCAGUCGGCGGGGCCACAGAAGGAAGAGGCAGCAGAGGUUGAUCAGUUGGAGCUUCACUACGCGGUGCCGCCCCAGAAGACGAAGGCAAAUGCGGUUGGAACAAACCCACAAACCUCCGAUGAUCAAGUAAAAUUUGACCAUCGGUGUCCUGCAUCUGGUCAAUCUUUCUCUUCAUACUGGUGGCAUAAUUGUGUGCAAGCUUGUGCAAUUGUUUAUUUUCAUGCUUGAGUCCUCUAAUCUCCUCUUUGAGACUCUGUAUUUCAGCCACCAACGAUUCAACGUGACGGGUUCGAGCAAAUAGGCGUUGGGCCAUGUUGGAUACAGAACCCGCACACUGCACGCUAAGAGCCAGAGACUCCUUAACCGCCAAUUCAUCGGACCGUCUAGCGAGCAGUCUGUUAUCUCUGGGAGUGACAAGGUUUCGGGCCACCACCGCAGCGGUCAUGUCAUUUUUUAUCACCGAAUCCCCCACGGUAAGAGGACCGGUAGGGGAUAUGAAGGUUGGCCGCCAUAUGUUGUCUGGUGAAGGCGGAGCUGCCUCUUCACCAAUGUUCAAGUCAAAACGACGAUCAGAAGGGCUAGACAUUUUUAAGAGGUGGUGAAGAAAGAUGAGAGUCGGAAUGAUCAAGAUUAAACAAGUGCAAGAAGGGAGUGUUUACAAGAGGGAGCUCAAGUGUGUUGUGGAACAAAAUUAACACCUCUAUAAAAAGAAGAAAUCAAAGAGGCGCUCCUCAGAAAUUGUUGAAGCGUCCUCUCGCAAAUCGAAGAGUCGGGGCUCCUUUCUCAAAAGCCGGAUUCUUUUCUCAAAAGAGGCGUUGCAUUUCUUAAAGGCUGGGCUUGCUCAGAAACCACGAGCCGAACCCCGGAUUUCAAAAGAUCAAAUUGUCCAGACAUGUCGUCACUUGUCACACGCAAAUUGCUUUGCGGAAAUCUCGGGCAGUUUGUCGAAGCACCAAUUCAGAAAUCGAAGAGGGAAAUUCAACAGUCAAUGACACGCUAGCUUUCUCAAAAGCUGGGCUUCAACCCACGGACAAAUCUUCUUUUCCAGAUUUAUCCGCACGUGUCACAUGCUACCUCUACAAUCGACGAUGCUCAGAGCUCGAAGCGCCGAUUCCAGAUAUCAAUGAGGAAUCUGCUUUGCGAAAAUUACGGGCAGCUUUGUCAGAAAGCGCGUAAUUUGUACUAUUCAUCCAUCCACCGGCUGCCGACAAUGAGUGAGGGAAUAGUUCCGGUUGUGAAGAAAGUCCUAUAAGUAUUUACCUUCGCCUUCCACAGCAAAGGCACACCCUCUCAGCACUUCUUCAUCUCCGUGAAUGCAUUCCCAAAGAACCCUCUCGAGUCACUCUGUAUUCCUCAUUCCCUGGGAUACCCCUGCAAACAACCCAUCCAGAGCAAAAGUAUUUCAUAUCAUAAAGGUUGAAAGCAAGAGUAUCUCAUAUCAUGCAUUCUCCAUGUCCUUUUCCUUGUCUUUGUUCUAACCUGCAGGACAUGGAGAAAUUGCUCUCGAGUACUCGUCUUCCACUGCUGAUGUACUUCCAAAGAAGCUGCCACAUCUACCUGAAGAACAGAUAAGGCAAGCGAAAAUGAUUCCAGCAGCAUGUGGAGACAACGUACAGAAGAAACAAGCAGAGAAGAAUGCAGUUUGCACAAUCAUCCCAGCGGAAGGAGUCUGAGAUGAAGAACAAGAGAAGCUGCCACAUCUGCUUGGAGAACAAAUAAGGAACUGCAACAUUCCCAAAGAGCAAAGCUUCGCCGUACAAUAUCAUCAAAUCAUCACUUGCAAGUAAAAAGCUAAGUGUCACCCCGUUCAAGAGGAAAGCUGUGGAAAGUCAACAAGCACGACCAAUGACCACUUAUUAGUUCUAUUCAUUGUCUUUUAUCGUGAUUUUCAAUUUUUCGUUUGCAAUUUUUUCUACAUUUUCUUGUGUUACUUAACUGAUUUAUUUCUUUUCUUUGCAGGAACUUUUGGUUAUUUCCACCCUUGAAGUUGAUUGCAGAAUUUUAGCUUGGGGGUCAUCGCUUGAUUUUACUGCAAAUUAGGGAAGUUUUCAGUCCAAUUGCUUUAUUUUGUUUCUUACUAUUUAUUCAUUUUAUUUUUUAUUUGCAUUAUAGUGUUUUCUGACAUUGGGGACAAUGUCCAGUUUAAGUUUGGGGGUAAAAAGUAUAAAAAAAAAAUGACCAAAUUGAAAUUUUUUGUACCUUCGACUACGAACUGGUUUCAUUUGUUUCUGUGUUGUUGCUUUUUGUUUUCUUAAUUAGUUUUGUUUCCUUUAAAAAAAAAAAUAUAUAUAUAUAUAUAUAUAUAUAAAUAAAAAUAAAAAAUAAAAAAAUAAAUAUUUAAAAAAAAAAAAUCGGAAAAUUUAAAAAUCCAAAAAUAUUGUCUUGUUUCCCUUAUUGUUUUGAAUUAGAUUUUUGUUAGUUUCCCGACCCAAUGAUAUAAUUGGAUCAAAUUUGAACCAUGAUCAUCAAGAACUUAGUUAACAUGUGUUUUUGUGAAAUUCCUAAUUCUCUUGUUAGUUUUGUACACAUGUUUUGACCAUCUUUGAAAAAACCAAAUGCACAUAGCCUUGUUAAUGUGAAACUAAAGUAUGACUUAAAGCUUCAUAUGUGAAUUUAGUGACCAUAUACAUCCUAUGUGAGUUUUUGAGCCGAUUGAAAGUGUGUGCAUUUUUCAUACACUCCUAUUCUUUCAUGUGUGAUGAACUUAUGUGAGAUACAUCUCUAGAACUUGCGUAACGAUCUUUCGAAAUGUUUGUCAUUGAUUGCAUGAACUUGGAAAUGAUAGAGGCAUUAGGUUUACCACUAUGGCCCAAAUAACCAUGUUUCCCAAAUAAAAAUGAUAUCAUUAGAUUGCCAAUUUGAGCCGUGUUUGUUGAGCCUUUUAUUUCUUAUCACCAGAUAUGUCUACCCUUAUACCUAAAUCAUUUUUUUUUCCUUACCCUUUCCAAGCAAGCUAGUGAGCAAUGUGAGAUUGUCUUAUGAGAAAUGUUUGUGAAGUACUUUGAAGGUGUUUGGCAAAAGAAUAAGUGUGGGGGUAUUUCAUGUUUGUAUUUAAAAAAAAAAAAAAAGAAAAAAAAAAAAAAAAAAAAAGAAAGAAAGAUUGUAUACAAAGAAAAUAAAAAGUUUUUCAAGUUUCAGUUAAGGGUGUGGUUGGAGGUGUUAGAAGAAUUGUUGGAGAGCUUGAGUUCUUAUAAAUCUAAAGAAAAGAAUUGCUUGCAAUGUAGCUUGGAAUUUGUGUUUUCCUAUUCUUUCGUUUCAAUAACCCUAUCCCUAAGCCUCAUUACAUCCAAUAAAAGUCCUCUUGAUUUAAGUUUUGCAAUUAUGAUUGUGGAGAUGAGAUCUUUAUGCAAGCUUAUGGUAGAAAUUUCACAUUUGAUUCUUUGAGCGAAACACAUUUAAACUAAACACAUGUGUGAUUGAGUGUAUAUCCCGUGAGAAUGUCGCUAGUUUGCAUAUGAUGAUUUUAAAAAUAAAAACUUGAAAUUGCAUUAGCAUGGCUAUCUCACACACUACACUUCAAGGAUGAUUCAAAGAUUACUGCUAAUAUUUGAAUAAAGAAGAUGAACUUGAAUUAGUUGGUUUGAUGCUAGCUAUGGUUCUUGAUGAUUUGUUUUCUUAAAUGAAAUUCUAUGAGGGUCACAUAGAGGGAAGCUAAUCUUUUUCAUGUUUUCUUUGUUUUGCUCGAGGACUAGCAAAAGUUAAAGUGUGGGGGUAUUUGAUCGGAUCAUAUUUAUAUAUAUUUUUACUUCGAAUUCACUCGUCUUUUCUUAGUUAGUUCCUUAUAUUUUUGAGAUAUUUACGUUAUUUUUAUGUUUAUAGGAUUUGUUAUGCAAAGAAAAUAAAAAUAGCACAAAUGAGUUUUAAAUAAUAAACAGAAAGAAUAUUGGUUUUAUUUUUGGAUUGGGUUUUAUUUUGGUUUAUUUUGGUUUAUUUUAUAUGCAUUGAAUUGAUUGUUUCAUAGAAUAUUGGUUUUGGAUUUGUUACUUGAAUUUGUUCUUAAUUCCCAACUGCUACUAAUUUAGAGUUUAUGAUACAAAUUAGUUUUGUAUUAUUUUGUCAAGGAAGAAUCCAAGGACAGCUAAGGAAAGAGAAGGCUGUCUUGCAGCCUUGAGAAACAAAAGAAGAAUAUAGAGAAAGCUGCCUUUGCAGCGUGCAGAAAAGGAGAAGAUGCGGGGAGUGUGAAGCAUGGAAGAAAAAUAAUAGAAGAGAAUCAAAGAGCUGCUUUUGGCAGCUAGAGAAAGUGACACGGGAGAGAGUAGCAUGUGAAAAGAAGAGGACAGUGCGCCAGGGAGCAUGUGAGAGGACAGCAAAGGCUGUCUUGGCAGCUCAGAGGAGUAACACGGAGGCAGAAAACGUAAGCUGGAGAAGGGGUCAGUAGGAGAAUAAAAGGAGAAGUGGGAGGCUGCUUUGAGGGAGGGGAGAAACCGAGAGGCUGUGGGCGCGGGAGAGAGGAAAGAAGGCUGCCUUUUGGGCAGCGUGUGAGACCAGUGAGGGGGGGGAGCUGCCUUUGGGCAGCUCGCAGAUACACGAGAGGGAGUCAGAGGGAGUGAGACGGGACAGAGGUCAGCACGAAGGGAGGUCAGCACGAAGGUGAGCUGCCUUUGGGCAGCGUGUCAGACAGAGACAUCAGGUCAGAGAAGAAGAGCGCAGAAAACGUAAGGGCUGUCUUGGAGUUGACUUGCGGGAAGAAGUAGCUUAUAGCUGCCUAGACGGGACAGCCAAGAAAAACCGAGAGGACUGCGCAGAGCACAGAGGCAGAGGGCUUCAUUCCAUUCUUAUUGGUGUUAUCUUCUCAAACUCAUGUUUUACGUUUCGGUUUAAUUUUUCCAAACUUCUAUUUUAUUUCUGUUUCAAUAAUGUGUAAUUAAACUUAUUUUGACUAGAGGUUAAUUCAAAGCCAUGAAUAUAUUUGUAAUAUGAAUUGAUUACCUUCGG